GGAAAUGUAGCUGAUGAGCCUAUCAUGUCAGGAGCAGUGGUCUCACAGCAAAGGCAAGAGUGGGUCCCCAAGAAAGUGCAGUGGGGGCCAGAGCAGUGUUGGGUGUGAUGCAGAGUUCCCAGGGCAGCACUCUGAGGGGGACCUGUUAUAGCUGAGGAACCUGUUUGAGGAGAACUGGGUGGCUGUGGUGGUGUGUGUUUCCUUGCUCAAGGCAUGCUUCUUGGCCCUGCAAGGAGACCUGGACCAGGCCCUGGAGAGCUAUGAUGUGUGUGUGUGCAGGCAUACUGCGGAGAUUCACGCACGGACCACAGAGGAGGAAAGGUACACCAUCUACCUGCCCAACCUGCGUGCAGAUGCAGUAAUCUCGGUGGAGGAGAUUGCUCUAACACCCCCAUUCUGCCCUCCUCCCUGAUGCUGCUUAACCUGGCCCAUGAGUACCUGGGCCGCCGCUCCUGGUGCUGCAACUCAGAUGGAGCUCUGUUCAGGUGCUAUGCGAGUCGGUCAACAGAGCUGAGAUUGUGUGGACAUUCUCUGUUUUUGUUUUCCUAUGAUAUGGUUUGAAUUAGUUUCUAAUAUCUUUCAAAGUAUUUGUCAAAGAUUAAUCAGGAUAGAACUAACCUCAUUGUUGUAUUCAUGUUCAUGGUUCGUGUUCUGGAGAAAGAGGCGUCUCCCUCGAGUGGAGGAUACUCAUCCCUACAAAGAUAAGAUGGGCGUUGAGCAGUGCUUCUACUGCCUGUAUGCUUACCCCAGCAAGAAGAUCAUGGCCCGUUAUCUGGAGGAGCACUCUGCUCAACAGGUGGAACUCCUUUGGAGCCACGCCCUCUUCAUGUUCCAGUACUUUAAGCCUUUGAGUUAAACUCCAUUGAACUGAAGAGCGAUGGCCCCAUGUGGAAGCACUCCAUGGCUGUGUUCAACUGCUUUAAGAGGGCCCUGGAGAUGGACAGCACCAACCUGGCUCUGUGGAUCGAGUACAGCACCAUGUCCUACGCCGUGUACUCCUUCACCUCGCGCCAACUCAAACAGUGGAGGACUGAGCUUCCCUCCGAGGUCAUCAAACCGGUGCAGUGGACAACCAGUAUGGAGGAGAGAGACCAUGCUGGAGACGUGUUUCCAGGGGACGUCUCGGUGUGAGGGGGGAGGGGAUAGGGAUGAGGAAGAGUGGUUCAUUCACUACAUGCUGGGGAAGAUAGCAGAGAAACGCAAGCAGCCACCCCGGGAAUACAUCCAGCUCUACAAACAGGGAGCUGCCAGAUACACUACCACAAUUCCCCUGACUUGUCUAUGGAGGCCCUGGAGCUGUACUUUCAACUGAGCGCCACUCUCCUCAAGCUGCUGGAGUCUGAGGAACCAGACCUGGAGCAUGAUCUUCAACAUCCUGGCUGAGGUGGCCACUGGACCCUUUGCCAGGGGGGGAAGAGAAGGGCAGGUCCAACGAAAAGGAGAAGCCCCUCUCCAUGAUGGACGAGGACUCCCACUGCUGUGUUUCAUCUGUGUGUGAUGGAUGUUCAUGGGGCCUCCCUCCCCUCCAACGCUGCAGGUCUGACGUCCCCACCUUACACGGCCACUCUGGUCGACCACAAUUACACCAAACGUAACGGCCUCCGGCAGCAGCAGACCAAGCGUAACGGCCUCCGGCAGCAGCAGACCAAGCGUAACGGCCUCCGGCAGCAGCAGACCAAGCGUAACGGCCUCCGGCAGCAGCAGACCAAGCGCAACGGCCUCCGGCAGCAG